rnacentral:rRNA from 1 species
ACUCCUACGGGCGGCAGCAGUGGGGAAUAUUGGACAAUGGGCGCAAGCCUGAUCCAGCCAUGCCGCGUGAGUGAUGAAGGCCCUAGGGUUGUAAAGCUCUUUCACCGGUGAAGAUAAUGACGGUAACCGGAGAAGAAGCCCCGGCUAACUUCGUGCCAGCAGCCGCGGUAAUACGAAGGGGGCUAGCGUUGUUCGGAUUUACUGGGCGUAAAGCGCACGUAGGCGGACUAUUAAGUCAGGGGUGAAAUCCCGGGGCUCAACCCCGGAACUGCCUUUGAUACUGGUAGUCUUGAGUUCGAGAGAGGUGAGUGGAAUUCCGAGUGUAGAGGUGAAAUUCGUAGAUAUUCGGAGGAACACCAGUGGCGAAGGCGGCUCACUGGCUCGAUACUGACGCUGAGGUGCGAAAGCGUGGGGAGCAAACAGGAUUAGAUACCCCUGUAGUCCC